rnacentral:rRNA from 1 species
ACUAAGCGUACACGGUGGAUGCCCUGGCAGUCAGAGGCGAUGAAGGACGUGCUAAUCUGCGAUAAGCGUCGGUAAGGUGAUAUGAACCGUUAUAACCGGCGAUUUCCGAAUGGGGAAACCCAGUGUGAUUCGUCACACUAUCAUUAACUGAAUCCAUAGGUUAAUGAGGCGAACCGGGGGAACUGAAACAUCUAAGUACCCCGAGGAAAAGAAAUCAACCGAGAUUCCCCCAGUAGCGGCGAGCGAACGGGGAGCAGCCCAGAGCCUGAAUCAGUGUGUGUGUUAGUGGAAGCGUCUGGAAAGGCGCGCGAUACAGGGUGACAGCCCCGUACACAAAAAUGCACAUGCUGUGAGCUCGAUGAGUAGGGCGGGACACGUGGUAUCCUGUCUGAAUAUGGGGGGACCAUCCUCCAAGGCUAAAUACUCCUGACUGACCGAUAGUGAACCAGUACCGUGAGGGAAAGGCGAAAAGAACCCCGGCGAGGGGAGUGAAAAAGAACCUGAAACCGUGUACGUACAAGCAGUGGGAGCCUCUUUAUGGGGUGACUGCGUACCUUUUGUAUAAUGGGUCAGCGACUUAUAUUCUGUAGCAAGGUUAACCGAAUAGGGGAGCCGAAGGGAAACCGAGUCUUAACUGGGCGUUAAGUUGCAGGGUAUAGACCCGAAACCCGGUGAUCUAGCCAUGGGCAGGUUGAAGGUUGGGUAACACUAACUGGAGGACCGAACCGACUAAUGUUGAAAAAUUAGCGGAUGACUUGUGGCUGGGGGUGAAAGGCCAAUCAAACCGGGAGAUAGCUGGUUCUCCCCGAAAGCUAUUUAGGUAGCGCCUCGUGAAUUCAUCUCCGGGGGUAGAGCACUGUUUCGGCAAGGGGGUCAUCCCGACUUACCAACCCGAUGCAAACUGCGAAUACCGGAGAAUGUUAUCACGGGAGACACACGGCGGGUGCUAACGUCCGUCGUGAAGAGGGAAACAACCCAGACCGCCAGCUAAGGUCCCAAAGUCAUGGUUAAGUGGGAAACGAUGUGGGAAGGCCCAGACAGCCAGGAUGUUGGCUUAGAAGCAGCCAUCAUUUAAAGAAAGCGUAAUAGCUCACUGGUCGAGUCGGCCUGCGCGGAAGAUGUAACGGGGCUAAACCAUGCACCGAAGCUGCAUGCUGGAGGUAUCAGAAGUGCGAAUGCUGACAUAAGUAACGAUAAAGCGGGUGAAAAGCCCGCUCGCCGGAAGACCAAGGGUUCCUGUCCAACGUUAAUCGGGGCAGGGUGAGUCGACCCCUAAGGCGAGGCCGAAAGGCGUAGUCGAUGGGAAACAGGUUAAUAUUCCUGUACUUGGUGUUACUGCGAAGGGGGGACGGAGAAGGCUAUGUUGGCCGGGCGACGGUUGUCCCGGUUUAAGCGUGUAGGCUGGUUUUCCAGGCAAAUCCGGAAAAUCAAGGCUGAGGCGUGAUGACGAGGCACUACGGUGCUGAAGCAACAAAUGCCCUGCUUCCAGGAAAAGCCUCUAAGCAUCAGGUAACAUCAAAUCGUACCCCAAACCGACACAGGUGGUCAGGUAGAGAAUACCAAGGCGCUUGAGAGAACUCGGGUGAAGGAACUAGGCAAAAUGGUGCCGUAACUUCGGGAGAAGGCACGCUGAUGCGUAGGUGAAGUCCCUUGCGGAUGGAGCUGAAAUCAGUCGAAGAUACCAGCUGGCUGCAACUGUUUAUUAAAAACACAGCACUGUGCAAACACGAAAGUGGACGUAUACGGUGUGACGCCUGCCCGGUGCCGGAAGGUUAAUUGAUGGGGUUAGCGGUAACGCGAAGCUCUUGAUCGAAGCCCCGGUAAACGGCGGCCGUAACUAUAACGGUCCUAAGGUAGCGAAAUUCCUUGUCGGGUAAGUUCCGACCUGCACGAAUGGCGUAAUGAUGGCCAGGCUGUCUCCACCCGAGACUCAGUGAAAUUGAACUCGCUGUGAAGAUGCAGUGUACCCGCGGCAAGACGGAAAGACCCCGUGAACCUUUACUAUAGCUUGACACUGAACAUUGAGCCUUGAUGUGUAGGAUAGGUGGGAGGCUUUGAAGUGUGGACGCCAGUCUGCAUGGAGCCGACCUUGAAAUACCACCCUUUAAUGUUUGAUGUUCUAACGUUGGCCCGUUAUCCGGGUUGCGGACAGUGUCUGGUGGGUAGUUUGACUGGGGCGGUCUCCUCCUAAAGAGUAACGGAGGAGCACGAAGGUUGGCUAAUCCUGGUCGGACAUCAGGAGGUUAGUGCAAUGGCAUAAGCCAGCUUGACUGCGAGCGUGACGGCGCGAGCAGGUGCGAAAGCAGGUCAUAGUGAUCCGGUGGUUCUGAAUGGAAGGGCCAUCGCUCAACGGAUAAAAGGUACUCCGGGGAUAACAGGCUGAUACCGCCCAAGAGUUCAUAUCGACGGCGGUGUUUGGCACCUCGAUGUCGGCUCAUCACAUCCUGGGGCUGAAGUAGGUCCCAAGGGUAUGGCUGUUCGCCAUUUAAAGUGGUACGCGAGCUGGGUUUAGAACGUCGUGAGACAGUUCGGUCCCUAUCUGCCGUGGGCGCUGGAGAACUGAGGGGGGCUGCUCCUAGUACGAGAGGACCGGAGUGGACGCAUCACUGGUGUUCGGGUUGUCAUGCCAAUGGCACUGCCCGGUAGCUAAAUGCGGAAGAGAUAAGUGCUGAAAGCAUCUAAGCACGAAACUUGCCCCGAGAUGAGUUCUCCCUGACUCCUUGAGAGUCCUGAAGGAACGUUGAAGACGACGACGUUGAUAGGCCGGGUGUGUAAGCGCAGCGAUGCGUUGAGCUAACCGGUACUAAUGAACCGUGAGGCUUAACC